rnacentral:lncRNA from 1 species
UAAAAAGGAGCAGCUGUGUCACUUUCAGGUAAUGCUGGAACGUGUGAGGAAAAUAUGGAGUUGGACCAGACAGGAAGGGAUACAUUUGGGAAGCAAACCUAGAACAGAGAGCAUGAAAAAGGAUUGUAUCAGAAGGCUUAUACUAGAAAAUAAUUUCUUCCAGUGUUAGCAUUUGGUGUGUUUACCUCAUUUUAUUUUGAGUGUUAUUUAGGAGGAACAUAGCAGAAGAACUGAAUAGUCCAUUUGCUCCCAUAAACUAAGGAUAAACUGGAAGAUAAAUCUGUUGUUCUGUGGAGUUCCUAAUGAUAUUAAACACUAUCUUAUUUCUCCUCAUCCCUUUCUCUUAAAGCCAAAAGGAUAUGUGCUAAAAUUGGUACAGCUCAGAGAUUAGCAAGGCCCCCACACAAGGAUUACAUAGAAAUCUGUGAAGUGUUCUGUCAAGCCAGAAAUCCAGUUACAACUUGGAAGCUUUCUCAAGAAAAAUGACACUUAAGUGAGAGUGUUUGUAAUUUUUGAUAGCAAAAUUAUCCCUCUUGUAGAUUAUUAAUGGAUGCCCAAAUGAUGGUCAGAGUGAGGCUAGGGUGGAAAUGGAACAAACAGCAAGUAGAGAGUGGUCAGGUGUGAGAAAGCUUAACCGACAGACCAUGCAAAUGUAAAUGAAUAAGUUCUCCUUUUGGCCUUCACGCAUCUGUCCUUAAUAAGUGUGUUUUCCAGGCUCUGUCAGAACUAAAUAAAAAAAAAAAACCUGAUUCCUUCAUGUUCAUUGUCUCGGAGUAUUUUGUCCCUUGCUUUUGGUGCACUAGCUUUCUUCCUUACAGAAUCAAAGAAAAUGGGGCUUUUAAACUCAUAGUGCACGAGAGAGAAAGAGACGGUGACUGUCAGUUCUCUGAGAUAGUUCUGCAGCAAAGGACAACUCUGAUUAGAAGAACCAUUCCUCAGUGGAAUAACUUCAGCUUGAUCAUACAUACCGUUUAUGGAUGGAAAUGUUUGCAAGGAGAAAAGACAACUUUAGCAGGUGUACUCUAAACAGCCUUUUCAAAUGAUGCCCCAAUGGAUUAUCUGAGCAAUUUCCC